GGCUCAGGAUGAACGCUAGCGGCAGGCUUAACACAUGCAAGCCGAGCGGUAUUGUUUCUUCGGAAAUGAGAGAGCGGCGUACGGGUGCGGAACACGUGUGCAACCUGCCUUUAUCUGGGGGAUAGCCUUUCGAAAGGAAGAUUAAUACUCCAUAAUAUAUUGAUUGGCAUCAAUUAAUAUUGAAAGCUCCGGCGGAUAGAGAUGGGCACGCGCAAGAUUAGCUAGUUGGUGAGGUAACGGCUCACCAAGGCGAUGAUCUUUAGGGGCCUGAGAGGGUGAUCCCCCACACUGGUACUGAGACACGGACCAGACUCCUACGGGAGGCAGCAGUGAGGAAUAUUGGUCAAUGGGUGCAAGCCUGAACCAGCCAUCCCGCGUGAAGGACGACUGCCCUAUGGGUUGUAAACUUCUUUUGUAUAGGGAUAAACCUAUCCUCGUGAGGGUAGCUGAAGGUACUAUACGAAUAAGCACCGGCUAACUCCGUG
rnacentral:rRNA from 1 species